rnacentral:rRNA from 1 species
AGUGAACGCUGGCGGCGUGGAUUAGGCAUGCAAGUCGAGCGAUCUCGCAAGAGAUAGCGGCAAACGGGUGAGGAACACGUAAAUAAUCUUCCCCUUAUCCUGACAUAGCUCUAUGAAAAUAGAGGUAAUAUCAGAUGACACCAUGAUUUCUCAUGAGAUUAUGUUUAAAGACGGGGACCGCAAGGCCUGUCGAUAGGGGAUGAGUUUGCGUAGCAUCAGCUAGUUGGUAGGGUAACGGCCUACCAAGGCUAUGACGCUUAGCUGGUCUGA